rnacentral:lncRNA from 10 species
AAACACCCAAGAAUUAUCAAUAAAAAAAUAAAUUAAAAAAAAAAAUAAAUAAAUAAAUCCAGCAAAAAUAAAAAUAAAAAAUAAAAUCCCCUUGAAUACAUUUGAGGUAAUGUUGUAGUUUUCAGCUCCUCCCACGAGAGAUUUUAUGGAGUGCCUAACUGUGCUACCCGGGUGCUGCUCCUGUCGUUAGUGGUGGCACCCAGGAGGAAUUAAAAUUACAAGAGUGUUUCCUUCCAGAUGUUGUUGCUACAGGCUCAAGGUGCUCUUUUAACUGGGACAUCAGGCUUUCUUGAAAUAGACAAGAAUUCUAGAAACAUGACAUUGUGCCUGAUUCAUCGCUUCAACUUGCCACUGACUCAUUCUCUCCUUGAUAGGUUAUUCAACAGUAACUUUAAUUACAUCAUUUACUUAUUGUUUUCUUCCUUGAUUUAUUCUCUUUCUACAAUUCUUGUUUAUCAUCUCAGUGAUUGGACCAUCUCACCUCUGAGACUUGGGUAGAAUUCUGUGGACUCUGGAAAUAGACAUGGAGGUUUUCAUGUAUCUCUGUUAAUGUGUACAAACACCCCCAGGCUUGUACACUUGAAAUACAUCAGUAGGAAGGGUAGUUCUCAAUUUGCUAGUGUUUCACACAGCUUGUCUUAUUUAAUGAUCUCAGCUGCCCUAUGAAGUAGAUACCAUCCUAUUAAAAAAUGCAGGAGCAGAGGCUCUGAGAGGGGACUGUAACUUACCCAAGAUCAUGUGGUAGAUUGCAAAACUGGUUCCAAAUCCCUACCCUUCCCUGUACGCACACCUUUUGCCAUUCAUCUGCAAUGUCCUUUUCUGAUUCUGGGCUCAGCAAUAUAACUUGCUCUGGCCAACAGGAUAACAACAGCAAAUGUGAUGUAAGCAAAAGCUUGAGAAAUACUUGUGCAACUAAUCAUGUUUGCCUUCUCUCUUGUACCUGUGCCAUUGCCAUGAGAACAUGCCUGGGCUAGGAUUAGAGACACUUGGAGCAGAGCUGAGUCAUCCCAGCUGUCCCAGUUGAGGCCAGCCUAGGUCAGUCGAUGGCAACCAAGCCCUAAGCAUGUUAGUGAGCCCAGCCAUGAUCAGCACAACCACCUAGCCAACCAUCCCAGACCUGUGAUCAAUAAAGCCUUACUAUUCCAUACCACCUAGGUUUUGUGAUUAUUUAUUUCACAGAAUUAUUAUGGCAGUAUGUAACUGAUAGAAGCGGUGUACAGGGAAGAGUAUUUGUUAGUCCGUUUUCACACUGCUGAUAAAGACAUAUGCGAGACUGAGCAAUUUACAAAAGAAAGAGGUUUAAUGGACUUACAGUUCCACGUGGCUGGGGAAGCCUCACAAUUGUGGUGAAAGGUGAAAGUCACAUCUCACAUGGCAGCAGACAAGAGAAGAAGAGCUUGUGCAGGGAAACUCCCCUUUUAAAAACCAUCAGAUCUCAUGAUACUUAUUCACUAUCAUCAGAAUAGCCUGGGAAAGACCUGUCCCCAUGAUUCAGUUACUUCCCACCGUGUCACUCCCACAACAAGUGGGAAUUCAAGAUGAGAUUUGGGUAGGGACACAGCAAAACCAUAUUAGAGCAGAUCUCUGGAAUUGGGCAGGCCAAGGUUUGAAUCCCAUCUGUUAUUUGGAGUGUGUGUUUCUUUUUGAGACUAAUCUCCUUACCCUUGAAAUGAGGUAAUAUACUUCCCUCAUAGGGUUGCUGGGAAGAUUAAACACGAGGUGAAGUAAAUAAAGCCCCAGGGACAUAAGCAAAAAAUAAUGGCUUCUCACAGCAAUGCUCCAGAACAUACAACAAGGGAAUACUGGGCCCAGUCCCAGGACUAUCCAAGUGUGAAGCCAACACCUUUUCACAUCAACUCCAAGGUAAGGAUUAAGAACAGAAUGGCCUGGUUCUAAUCUUACCAUGAAAUGCUGCUCCCCUGAAUCUUCCAUUGCAGUAUAGAGAGCAGGACAGGCCUUUAAAAAAUUAAUGUUGCUUAAAUUUAGGAGCCUGAAAAAAAAGCCAAAUCCAAGAUUUUCCUUUGGACUUGUGGUUUUGCCAGAUAGGUGGCAGUGAUUUCGGGAAGGAGGGUUGCUUUUGUCCUGGGUAUGGGUGUGUUUCAAAGUCCUCCGGGCACAGUUGGGAGCAGGGGCCAGCCUGGCUGCGUUUGCCCUGACUCUGUUGGUUGCCCCUCUGCAUGCACAUGCAUUUUUGAUGACAGAUCAUUCAGGAAAUGUGAAUGUUUCCCUGGGAGGCUUUGCUUUUUUCACCUGGCCUUCUUUUCUGGGCCUCCUGUGGGGCUGCCCUUUCCCUUCCUUUGAAGCCAUUGUCUUCUUGACAUGAAAAAUGUACUCAGGUACGCUUAUGGCUAAUUAUCUCAAGGGGGAAGAAAAAACAAAAUGAACUCAAGGCUGAAAUAUAGAACCAUUAACUCUGUAAACUCUGAAAAGUCAUAAGACACUUUUUUAAAAUUAAAAAAAUACAUAUACAUUUGAAAUAGUUUCUUCUUAAACAGAUAAACAGAAUUAACUUGGGAUGUUUCCUACACAAUUUAGCUUCCUUCUCUCUCCCUCCACUCCCACCCCAGAUAGCUCACUUCCCUUUAUCAUCUCUGAUGCUGAUGAUGGGUGACAACAGUUAGCUGCACUGUACUCUGCCUCUAACUUAUUUUAUGACCUUGGAUAAGUUACAUGGCAUUUCUGAGCUUCUGCUUCUCAUAAGUAAGAUGACAUUGCUAUUACAUUUCUUUAAAACUUUUUUUAGUACUGUAAAACAAUAAUUUAUUACCUCUUGCAGUUCCAUGGGCUGACUGGACUCCACUGGGAGUUCUUGAUGUCUCUCGUGUGGUUGUGUGAGAUAGUGGCUGGGACUGGACUCAUCUGAAGGCUUGACUGGGCUGGAUGCCCAAGAUAGCCCACUUUUAGACAGAGGUGGCUGGCAGUUGAUGCUGACUGUCAGCUGGGGACUCAGCUGAGAGUGUUAACUGGAGUCCCUAGACGUGGCUUCUCCACAUGGCUUGGGCUUCUCAUGGAAGGGCACCUGGAUUCUGAGAGAGAGCAUCCCAAGAGACACAAGUGGAAAUGAUAAGGCUUCUUAUGACGUAGACUGGAGGUACUGAGACAUCACUUUUGCUACAUUAGAAGGUUAGAUGCUGACAUUUUAUGAUUUCACAACUUGGAUCCUCUGUCCUCUGAUACUGAAUCAGAUAGUAGUUUAUGGAGCUGAGCAGAGAGCCAGCUGGUCCUGGGCACAGAGGAGGCUGUGUUCCAUGCUGAAGACAAGAACAUAUGGUGGACGUACCAUCCUAACUAUCUGGGAAGGGAGCUUCGUGGCUACAUGGGAGUUAUCAUCUGCCAGUGCCGGCUGCAUCCUGGCUGUGCCCACCUCUGGACUCUGAAUCUCUGCACCUCAGUACCCCCAACCCCAACACGACUGUGAUGUUAGGCAUAUAUUAGGCAUGUGAAGAUGAGAAAGAGAAGAUACAGCUCCCAUGUUUAUCUCCAUGAGAAGAUAAGCCACAGGGAGAGAGAAAGACUGUUGUGCACGAGAGGGAGUGUCAAAUGCCAAAUGGAUGUCAGCAGUCGGGGUGUGCUAGAGGCACUCAGGGGAAGGGAGGCUGGGCAUAGAGGGUCAUGCUGGAGGAGGUGACUCUGGAUCUGAAUCUUGAAAGGUGAGUAGGAAUUACUCAAGGAAGGAAUGGGAAGGGCAUUUCAGGGGAGAGAUCCAUGUGAGUGAAAUAUGAGGACUGGCAGGGAACAGCAACCCACGUGGGUAACCGCAGAGUGACAGGAGGUGAGAGGUGGUGGGAGAUGGAGCUGGAGAUGCAGGCAGGGCCCAGGGUCAUGCAGGGCCUGGGAGGACAGGUUACAAUAUUCCCAUUUUCCUAGACUAGGACCUAGAAGCUCGGGAAGAUAAAGGGACUUGACUAAGGUCACAUAACUUGUAAGUGACCAGUCAGGCUUCGAACCCAGGACUCUGUGACGCCUCAGUCUCACCCCCUUUGCAUCAUCGUGUAAUGGCAGUUGCUGCUGCUGGUUUUCCCAGCUCCCUCUCCCAUUUCUCUGAGGCUCCUGGCAGACAAAGGGUGUUGCUUUUCUGCACCAUUUAUUGUAGUGACUUCAAUUAAACCAUCUUGUGCUGGAUCAGUGAGCAGCUCUAGGGAAUCGAUGAGCAGCACUGGCUACCAGGGAAGCAGAGUCUCCUCCCUUUGUUCCUGCCAAUCCUAGGUCUGGGUUCCUGUCCCCAGGUCUAGGGAGGACUCAAGAGAGGAAAUGGGGACCAGGGGGGCAGGUAGCAAAUCAUGAGACAAGGAAGCAAGUGUCUAUUACCUUCCUGACAUUGAGGGUGGGUGGCCAGCCCUUGGAUGUUCAUCUUUCCUGGCCCUGCCCACUGCUGCCCUUGCUCAGCUGCCUUCCUCUGGCUAAUUGGGACCUGCAGCUGCAGCUCCAAGACAAUGGGGCAUCCCACCUGGCUGCCUUCGGUGCAGGCCCAGUGUGCAAGGAACCUGGGCCCCAAGGAAGAGGAGCUAAGGGCCCUGUCCUAACUUGCUACAUGGCCUUUGGCAGAUUGCCUCCACUCUCUGAGGCUUCUUCUGGGGAAAAACAACAGGGUGGAAAUUGCAGUACAUGAUGCUGUUGUUCUCCACUUGUCGUCUUCAAUUCAUUGUCUCUCCUUCUUAGAAUUGCUCUGUGCCUCAGAAGGCUGAUCCCUGUGGAAUGAAUCAAUGGGUUCCUGUGUCUAUUGGCUCCAGUAUGAUUUGGCCACUGGGAGACACAGGCAGGAGGCUGGAAAGUGGGAGAGUAUUUCUUCUCUGCUACCUCUCUGCUUUGAUGCAGGGUUGGGCCAGUGCCAUUCUGCCUGGCUAUAGCUUCUUUCCAGCAGUCCUUCCCACUGCUCCAGGCCUCAGUGGGCUCCAGUAACCUUCUUUAGGCCCAUGGGUGGUUUCCAGCAUGAUAUGGUUUGGAUCUGUGUCCCUGCCCAAAUCUCAUGUGGAAUUGUAAUCCCCAUUGUUGGAGGUGGGGCCUGGUGGGAGGUAAUUGGAUCAUGAGGGCAGUUUUAAUGCUUAAGCACCAUUCCCCUAGUGCUGUUCUCAUGAUAGGGUUCUCAUGAGAUCUGGUUGUUUAAAAGUGUGUAGCACCUCCACCCUCUCUCUCUUCCUCCUGCUCUGGCCAUGUGAAUGCCUGCUCUGGCUUUGCCUUCUGCCAUGAUUAUAAGUUCCCUGAGGUCUCCCCAAAAGCAGAUGCUGCCAUGCUUCCUGUACAGCCUGUGGAACUGUGAGCCAAUGAAACCUCUUUUCUUUUUUUUUGAGACACAGUCUCGCUCUGUGGCCCAGGCUGGAGUGCAGUGGCAUGAUCUCGGCUCGCUGCAACCUCCACUUCCCGGGUUCAAGUGAUUCUCCCACCUCAGCCUCCUGAGGAGCUGGGAUUACAGACACUCCCCACCAUGCCUGGCUAAUUUUUGUAUUUUUAGUAGAGAGAGGGUUUCACCAUGUUGGCCAGGCUGGUCUCGAACUCCUGACCUCAAGUGAUCUGCCUGCCUCCGCCUCUCAAAGUGCUGGGAUUACAGGCAUGAGCCACCAUACCCAGGGCCUCUUUUCUUUAUAAAUAACCGAGUCUCAGGUAUUUAUAGCAAUGCGGCAACACACUAAUACACAGCAGUUUGCAGUCUCUGGGUUUCUCAAUAUUCUUCUUGGUUUCUUUAAUCUAGCCUUCUGUAAAUAGUACCUCCUCAGUAAGGUCUCUUCAGUUGAACUAUUUGAGCAGAGUUCUGUUUCCUGUUGGGACACUGAUGUAUUCUCUGAAGGCUCUUUCCAACUCUGAAGUCUUACACGUUCGUGAGGGGACGAUGUAACGACCUGGCUGACUCUCAGGCACCGGAGCCUGGGUUAUCCCGUGACAGUUUACAGGCUGAGUGAUCCCAGCUCCUCGGUAGUUCUUUCUUCCCCUCCUUUGGUCCUCAACCUUCACAGCCUUUGCUCAGAUUCCCAUCAUUUAUUUCUUGUUUUAAUCCGACUUUAUUGAGGUAUAAAUUACAAAUAGCAAACUACAUCCAUGAAAGUAUACAGUUAGAUGAAUACCUAUCUGUUAAAGCUUGAAUGUUUGUGUCCCUCUAAAUUCAUGUUGAAACUUAAUCCCCAUUGUGGUGGUAUUAACAGGUGGGGCCUUUUGGGAACUGAUUAAGUCAUGAGGGUUCUUCCCUUGGGAAUGGGAUUAAUGCUCUUGUAAAAGAGGCUUCAGAGGCUGGGCGUGGUGGCUCACGCCUGCAAUCUCAGCACUUUGGGAGGCUGAGGUGGGCGGAUCACAUGAGGUCAAGAGUUCAAGACCAGCUGGCCAACAUGGUGAAACCCCGUCUCUACUCAAAAUACAAAAAUUAGCUGGGCAUGGUGGCAGGCACCUGUAAUCCUAGCUACUCAGGAGGCUGAGGCAGGAGAAUCACUUGAACCUAGGACACGGAGGUUGCAGUGAGCCUAGAUUGUGCCAUUGCAUUCCAGCCUCGGCAACACGAGCAAAACUCUGUCUCAAAAAAAGAGGCUUCAGAGAGCUGCCUGGCCCUUCUCAUCCUUCUGCCAUGUGAAGACAUAGCGUGCAUCCCCUCUGGAGGGUAUAGGAACAAGGUGUCAUCUUGGAAGGAGAGAGCAAGCCCUCACCAGACACCAAAUCUACCGGCACCUUGACCUCCAGAACUUGCAGUUCCUGUUCUCCUGGCUGGACCCUGACUGAUGCCAUGGGGAAAGCCCUCGGGCUCGUGGACCUUAAAUUCCAGGUCCUGUUGUGCCCAACUCAUGAUUUAUCCAGGUCACACCAGUCUGGUCUGUCACAGUAAGAGGGCACCAUCACAUACACUAUAAUAUGAAUCAUGACCCCCGGAGUUGUGUGGAGUUUCUGCAUCUCUCCCUCCCCACUGUGGCUACCCUCAUCCAGCAACCAUCCUGUCUCUCACCGGUAUUACCGCAGCUGAGACCCAGGUCUUAAGGAAGCUGAGACCCAGGCCAGCAGGGGCCUCACAGCUUGGAAAAAGAGGAGGGUGUAAGACUCUGGAUGAAGCUGAGAGAUCCUUCCAUGCUUGGCUGAGAGACUACACAGACAUGAGCUUCAGGAGACUCCAAAGCCUCGGAUCCCCUUCUAAACUAGCACUGAAUUCUGAUUGGCUGUCUUUGCCUGCCUCAGUUUGUUCCUUUUACUGAUUGGCUAGGUUCUUCUGCCCAUGGCAGAGCCCUGCUCCAGCCACCGGAUCCUCCCACCUGCCACAGUGUCACCUGGGAUUGGCUGGGCUCUGAAAGGCCAGGCUGGCUUGACUCUUGCCAUCAUCAGAUUCUUCCUCAUUAAACAAAUGAAUCACAAUCCUAAUUAAUUUGAGCAACAGAAUUUAUGUAACUACUCCCAGCAGGAUGUCUGCUCUCAGUCAGCAGAGAGAUUACUUCCUCUCUCUGGGAAAUUCCAGCCUUGCUGGUCAAUAAGCCUUAAUGAUGACUGAAAUCUCCCAUCUGUCUCUGCUCAGGGCAGGUAACCCCUACUAAGCAGACACCCAGUUGGCUCGAGGCAGUACCCCGGGCACCGGCAGGACAAGGACAACGAUCUCCCAGCCUAGAUGUGUCCUGAGCCACAUGGAGCACACAGAUUACAGGAUCUGACUCCCAUUUGGGCCUUCCACCUCCGCUGGCCUAAGCAGUCAAGUGUCAGAGAGCACUGGACCUAACAGCUCCCUCACCAGAGCAGCUGUGAUUCCUUCUUCAUUUCCAGCAGGGAAGACCCAACAACUUUUAUAAUAUGGGAUUUCUUUUAUUCUCAUGAUAAUAAUGUUCAUUGUGGAAAAUAAAAAAAAAUGAUAAAAUAAAAAUCAGCCAGAAUUCCAACUUCUGGAGAUUUUGGUGUCUUUCUGCAAAGUUCCUAUGCACAUAGAUACUUUAUAAAAUUAUGAACAUACUGUACAUACAGUUUUGGAAUAUGCCUUUUUCCUUCUGUCAUGAAAAAGUCUUCAAAUGCCUUUUAACAGCUACACAAUAGUUCACUACAUGAACCAACUCAAAUGUAACUAUUUUUGGCCUUUUGUUAUAAAUAACACAAGAACCCUCAGUCUUUGUUACAUAAUGUCCUAACAGAGUAGGGGAAAUGCUCCCCAAUCCGGUGCAAUGUCCUGUGCCCAGGGAAACCAAUU